GCACUACCAACUUUUCUAGUUCCAUCGAAAGUUCUAUAUUCUUAUAUGUUUCUCUGCAGCCGACGGAUGCCUUGCGCUUGCUUUCUAAACAAUCGAGGGAAAAUAAGUUAAUGUCUUCAGUCUAACAACUGCAGAAGAUGGAUCUAUUGUUAAUUUCAGCGUUUGGCAUAAAGAGACCAGCUAAGGUAUGGAAUACCAAGACCCUUCAAUCGGAUAGACAGAGCCCGGCUUCAGUUUUAAAAACAGGGGAAAAACCCUUGCAAGCCUUUGAUCGGUAAAGGAACAGGGUGGAAUGAGUAACAAAUUGGAUUGAUUGUAGAAGGUCUUAAUAAAUGAGAAGCUAAUAGACGAUUUUUCAUAAGAGAAGUCGGAUUGACUUGAUUGUCUCAGCACUAUUUAAGUGCUAGGUUGAUAAAUAUUAUUGUUCAGAGCAUAUAUGAUAUUGCUGUUUCAGCUCUGUUUAAAUGGUAGAUUUAUAAAUAUUAUUUUUCAGAGG